ACUGAGCGCUGGCGGCAUGCCUUACACAUGCAAGUCGAACGGUAACAGGUCUUCGGAUGCUGACGAGUGGCGAACGGGUGAGUAAUACAUCGGAACGUGCCUAGUAGUGGGGGAUAACUACUCGAAAGAGUGGCUAAUACCGCAUGAGAUCUACGGAUGAAAGCAGGGGAUCGCAAGACCUUGUGCUACUAGAGCGGCCGAUGGCAGAUUAGGUAGUUGGUGGGAGAAAAGCUUACCAAGCCGACGAUCUGUAGCUGGUCUGAGAGGACGAUCAGCCACACUGGGACUGAGACACGGCCCAGACUCCUACGGGAGGCAGCAGUGGGGAAGUUUGGACAAUGGGCGCAAGCCUGAUCCAGCAAUGCCGCGUGCAGGAUGAAGGCCUUCGGGUUGUAAACUGCUUUUGUACGGAACGAAAAGCCCUGGGUUAAUACCCUGGGGUCAUGACGGUACCGUAAGAAUAAGCACCGGCUAACUACGUGCCAGCAGCCGCCGUAA
rnacentral:rRNA from 1 species